CUACGGGGUGCUCCAGUGGGGAAUAUUGGACAAUGGGGGAAACCCUGAUCCAGCAAUGCCGCGUGUGUGAAGAAGGCCUGCGGGUUGUAAAGCACUUUCGGUUGGGAGGACUGCUUCUAGCACUAAUAUUGUUGGAAGUUGACGUUACCUUCAGAAGAAGCACCGGCUAACUCCGUGCCAGCAGCCGCGGUAAUACGGAGGGUGCAAGCGUUCAUCGGAAUUACUGGGCGUAAAGCGCGCGGAGGCGGCUAGAUCAGUCGGGUGUGAAAGCCCCGGGCUUAACCUGGGAACUGCAUCCGAUACUGUCUAGCUUGAGUACAGGAGAGGAGAGUGGAAUUCCACAUGUAGCGGUGAAAUGCGUAGAUAUGUGGAGGAACACCAAUGGCGAAGGCAGCUCUCUGGCCUGAUACUGACGCUGAGGUGCGAAAGCGUGGGGAGCAAACAGGAUUAGAUACCCGCGUAGUC
rnacentral:rRNA from 1 species